UCCCGUCAGCUUCCAUCAGAGAAUCCCGGCUCCUGCUGCAAUCAAGAGGCUGCUGUGGAAGCUCUGGGGUUGGGUUCUUUCUCCCUGCAGUCUUUUCCAGCUAUUGUGUAGAGCGUUUUCGGCAGGAGAAUCUAGGACCAAGCCACAUCAGUUCUCUCCUUAACCCACUCCAUUUGACUGUUAUCACAGCUAUGCUUCCAGAGUGCUCUGUGCAUUUCCAUGAUCAACAAACAAUGAAUAAAUCUCUGUUCUGGAAGCUGGGAAGUCCAGAAUCAAGGCACUGUCAUCUGGUGCCUGAUGAGAGACUUCUUCCUGCAUCCUUACAUGGUGGAAGACAAAAGAGUGGCAGAGAAUGAAUGCACUCCCAGUCCAUUCAAGUGGGAAGAGCCCUCACCUCAUCACUCCCCUGAGGUCUCACCUUCUAAUAUUAUCACCUUGGUAAUAAGAUUUCAACAUAGGAAUUUGAGGGGAAUACAUACAUCCAGACUAUUGCAGAUGGGAUUAUGUAAUACUUUGUUCCUGUUUGGCUUAGUUCUUAGCACAAUAUCUUUCUGGUAUGUGCAUGUUUUUGCAAAUGGCAAGAUUUUCUUCCUUUUUAAGGCUCAGUAAUAAUUCAUUGCAUAUAUAGACCACAUUUUCUUUAUGCAUUCAUUAUUAUUGAGAGUUCUUAUUACAAAUGGGGAAGUGGUUUUUAAUAUUGAUUUAAUUUUUAUUAUUAAAACAUUUUUAGAUGGUUAGAUUCCUUUUUAAAAUAAAUAUACUUCAUUAGUUAAGGCAGUUUUAACUUCACAGCAGAAUUAAGAAAUACAUAGAUUUCCCAUAUACCCUAAUGUACUUAUAUAUGUAGCCUUCGCCCUUUUCAACACCUCCCCCCACCAUGGUAGUACCUUUGAUAAAAUGAGGAACCUACAUUGAGACAUCAUAGUUGCCCAAAGGCCAUAGUUCACAUUAGGGUUUACUCUUGUGGUUUUACAUGCUAUGGGUUUGAGAAAAUGUAUAAUGACAUGUAUCCAGCCUUAUAGUACCUCAUGGAACACUUUGUUCUAAAAGUCAUCCCUGCUCUUCCUGUUUAUUACGUAUCAUCCCCUUAAACCUGCAAACCAUCUCCAUCAUUUUGCAUGUUACAUAGUUGCAGUUAUAUAGUAAGUAGCCUUUUCAGACCGCCUUCUUUUACUUAGUAAUAUGCAUUUAAGUUUCCUCAUCUUUUGAGGACAAGAUAGCCCAUUUCGUUUUAGUGCUGAAUUAUGUUCCAUUGUGUGUACCAUAGUUUAUUCAUUCACUUACUGAAGGGCAUCUUGGUUGCUUCCAAAUUUUACUUAUUUUGAAUAAAGCUGCUAUAAAUCCCUGUU